CUGGGGACCCCGUUUAGAGCAGCUUUGACCUUGGCUUAUUGAAUUUGUCUUCUGCUGCGUUACAGGAGGUUCCAACCCUCCAGAGCAGAAAGAUGUGUGACCAAAAUACCUCCCCAGAUUAUUGGGCAGGAGGGACAGAGAGAAGGGGAUUUCUCCUGAAGACUCCCUAGUUUAGCGGGGCCACCCUCUCUUAUGACUGCCUGUGGAAUAGAAAGAGGAGAGCCCUCAUUUUCCAUGGUUCUAAGGGUAGAAUUCUAAGAAGUCCCUUGGAAGUAAUUUCAUCCAGAAGGAAGCAUUGCCAUACACCUCUCCAUCCAAUACUCUGUCGAACAGGAAGUGGUAGGUCUGACUCACAUCUGGAGGAGGUGCUCUCCCUGCUAGGAGCAGAGAGAGGCGAAGUCAGCCCCUCCCUGGUCCACAGUCAUCUUGAGGCUGAGUCCUGGCACCCUGUCCUGUCUAGUGUUGUUGGCCAGGGCCUGCCCAUGGGAAUAGGGCUUCUGGCUGGAUGGCUUUCCUCCCACCCCCCUAGGUGGCCCUCCCUGGACAAGCUGAAGCAGAUCUGCCUCCCUGACUGUGACGUAUUUUGUGGCCCCUAGAACCUGUCCCAGGCUCGCUACUCUCACCUCAGGCACCAUGGCGAGGCCCUCAACUUUCUGGACAGAGAGAUUACUCCCUGCAUUGCUGCCAUUAUUACUCAGGCUGCCCAGAUCAGGCAAAACUCAUUCUCUGAGGCCAAGUGCUCAGGCCAGCCAGAGAACAUCAGAGGUGUCUGCAGCUAGGAGAGAUAGCUCGGCUCCCCUGCUUACAGAGACGGCUCCCUCAGGCCCAGAGCAGCCCUUUCUCUUGGGUUGGGGCAGGGGACAUUGGACAAAGACAGGAACAUCUGCCACCUGAGGCACUCCUACUUUGUGCUUUCCACCCUAGCCACUGACACCAUCCAGAGGUAGCUAUGGGCUGACCCUUCACCAUGAGGACAACCAACCACACUUCCAACUCCACCCAAGAUGAACACUUUGGCCUUUAGACUCCUUACCUCAAUCAUCACUAGGACAGCUUACUUCUUGACCUCCUCUGAGUCACCCAACCUCAUGGGCCAAUUCUGUGGAUAUCAAAGAGUUAUUGUCAAGUGUAAAAUGAUUCCUGGGAUGAUCUGGGACUUGACUAUCCACUGCCUGACCAGCAUCUUCCAGAGCAGGUCUCCUGUACUGAGAAAGAGAAUCAGCCUUCAUCAGUGACCUGUGUGUCCCCAACAAGAAUCCAACAAGACCGUGCUCCCUGC
rnacentral:lncRNA from 1 species